CUACGGGGUGCUCCAGUGGGGAAUAUUGCACAAUGGGCGCAAGCCUGAUGCAGCCAUGCCGCGUGUAUGAAGAAGGCCUUCGGGUUGUAAAGUACUUUCAGCGGGGAGGAAGGGAGUAAAGUUAAUACCUUUGCUCAUUGACGUUACCCGCAGAAGAAGCACCGGCUAACUCCGUGCCAGCAGCCGCGGUAAUACGGAGGGUGCAAGCGUUAAUCGGAAUUACUGGGCGUAAAGCGCACGCAGGCGGUUUGUUAAGUCAGAUGUGAAAUCCCCGGGCUCAACCUGGGAACUGCAGCUGAUACUGGCAAGCUAGAGUCUCGUAGAGGGGGGUAGAAUUCCAGGUGUAGCGGUGAAAUGCGUAGAGAUCUGGAGGAAUACCGGUGGCGAAGGCGGCCCCCUGGACGAAGACUGACGCUCAGGUGCGAAAGCGUGGGGAGCAAACAGGAUUAGAUACCCCGGUAGUC
rnacentral:rRNA from 1 species